rnacentral:rRNA from 1 species
UACGUAGGGGGCUAGCGUUGUCCGGAUUUAUUGGGCGUAAAGAGCGUGUAGGCGGCCAGGUAGGUCUGCUGUGAAAACUCGAGGCUCAACCUCGAGAUGUCGGCGGAAACCAUCUGGCUAGAGUCCGGAAGAGGAGAGUGGAAUUCCCGGUGUAGUGGUGGAAUGCGUAGAGAUCGGGAGGAACACCAGUGGCGAAGGCGGCGACCUGGGCCUGUGCUGACGCUGAGGCGCGAAAGCGUGGGGAGCGAUCCGG